rnacentral:tRNA from 1 species
GUUCCCGUAGCGGAGUGGUUACCGCGUGACUCUUAUACGCUAAGGGCUUUUCUUUGGUGCUAUGUUAGAAAUGUCAAGGUCCGGGGUUCGACCCCCCGCGGGAACA